rnacentral:lncRNA from 1 species
AUGAACAAUGGCUUCGGUGCACAAAUAGGUACGAGUCUUCAUGUAUUUAUAGCCUUGAAUUGUCUUGAUGUGCAAGCUAGGUUUUCAGACAAACACAGUUGUAAGAGCUGCGGCCAACCCUAUAUUAUUUUAAAAAAUAUAUCCAAGUUUUUUGUUCACGCACAAAAACGCAAAAAUAUUAUCAAUUUAUAUUUUUGUUUUAAAUAAU